rnacentral:rRNA from 1 species
GACGAACGCUGGCGGCGUGCCUAAUACAUGCAAGUAGAACGCAGUUGCGAACGGGUGAGUCACGCGUAGGUAACUGCCUGGUAGCGGGGGAUAACUAUUGGAAACGAUAGCUAAUACCGAAUACUACCAGAUGGACCUGCGUUGUAUUAGCUAGUUGGUGGGGUAACGGCUUACCAAGGCGACGCUACAUAGCCGACCUGAGAGGGUGAUCGGCCACACUGGGACUGAGACACGGUCCAGACUCCUACGGGAGGCAGCAGUGGGGAAUAUUGGACAAUGGGCGAAAGCCUGAUCCAGCCAUGCCGCGUGUGUGAAGAAGGUCUUCGGAUUGUAAAGCACUUUAAGUUGGGAGGCGUUACCAACAGAAUAAGCACCGGCUAACUUCGUGCCAGCAGCCGCGGUAAUAC